UACGGGGGGGGGUAAGCGUUGUUCGGAAUUACUGGGCGUAAAGCGCACGUAGGCGGACUCUUAAGUCGGUGGUGAAAUCCUGGAGCUCAACUCCAGAACUGCCUUCGAUACUGAGAGUCUCGAGUCCGGGAGAGGUGAGUGGAACUGCGAGUGUAGAGGUGAAAUUCGUAGAUAUUCGCAAGAACACCAGUGGCGAAGGCGGCUCACUGGCCCGGUACUGACGCUGAGGUGCGAAAGCGUGGGGAGCAAACAGG
rnacentral:rRNA from 1 species